AUUGAACGCUGGCGGCAUGCCUUACACAUGCAAGUCGGACGGUAACAGGUCUUCGGAUGCUGACGAGUGGCGAACGGGUGAGUAAUACAUCGGAACGUGCCUAGUAGUGGGGGAUAACUACUCGAAAGAGUGGCUAAUACCGCAUGAGAUCUACGGAUGAAAGCAGGGGAUCGCAAGACCUUGUGCUACUAGAGCAGCCGAUGGCGGAUUAGGUAGUUGGUGGGAUAAAAGCUUACCAAGCCGACGAUCUGUAGCUGGUCUGAGAGGACGAUCAGCCACACUGGGACUGAGAAACGGCCCAGACUCCUACGGGAGGCAGCAGUGGGGAAUUUUGGACAAUGGGCGCAAGCCUGAUCCAGCAAUGCCGCGUGCAGGAUGAAGGCCUUCGGGUUGUAAACUGCUUUUGUACGGAACGAAAAGCCCCGGGUUAAUACCCUGGGGUCAUGACGGUACCGUAAGAAUAAGCACCGGCUAACUACGUGCCAGCCGCCGCCGUAA
rnacentral:rRNA from 1 species